rnacentral:lncRNA from 1 species
ACGGGGAAAAGCUGUCCACAGGUGCACAGAGGACUGAUCCCCGGAGACCAGUCCCCAGCAGGCCAGCUGGGUGAGGAGGGCUAGGAAUAAAGAUGUUUAUAUGUGACAAGACUGACGCCUGACUUGCCAUCUCUAAGUGCAUGUAGCUGUGGAUUCCUAGAACUGGGCAGCCCCGUUCUACAGUGCAACAGCAUGAAGGCCAGCAGUCACUAGGCAACAGGGGAAGAGGCGUUCAUCACCUGUGAAGCAAAGCCAAGAAGCGGCCCCUGCAGGCUGGCAGAGCUACCGCUGGUCCUGAAGCCGAGAGACAGGAUUCCCAGGAACAUCUUGAGUGAGUUCCCUGCUUCCACGACACCAUGGUGGCAGGUGCCAAACAUCUCCUGGUCAUCUGUGAUGUAUCAAAUCCACAAAUAUCUCUGGAGAAACACCUCUGAAGGGCCAACGGGGUUAGUAGCAAGCAGCCGAAACUGCACCUGAAGCCAAAUGGAGUCUUCCCUUGGGGGUGGCUUUUUGGAUCACCAGAUUUUCCUAGUUUUUCUACAAAGGCUAGAAAAUCAAUUUUCUUCAAGGAGAAGCUUUUGAAUUUUUUAGCUGG